UACGGAGGGUGCUAGCGUUGUUCGGAAUCACUGGGCGUAAAGCGCGUGUAGGCGGCCCAUCAAGUCUGAUGUGAAAGCCCCGGGGCUCACCCCCCGGAAGUGCAUUGGAAACUGUUGGGCUGGAGUCCCGGAGAGGAGGGUGGAAUUCCUGGUGUAGCGGUGAAAUGCGUAGAUAUCAGGAGGAACACCGGUGGCGAAGGCGGCCCUCUGGACGGUGACUGACGCUGAGGCGCGAAAGCGUGGGGAGCAAACAGG
rnacentral:rRNA from 1 species